AAACCGGGAGGUUUAGCUAAUCUCUUAAAACCAUUCUCAGUUCGGACUGUAGGCUGCAACUCGCCUACACGAAGUCGGAAUCGCUAGUAAUCGCGGAUCAGCAUGCCGCGGUGAAUACGUUCCCGGGCCUUGUACACACCGCCCGUCACCCCAUGAGAGUUUGUAACACCCAAAGCCGGUGGGGUAACUUGAGA
rnacentral:rRNA from 1 species